AACGAACGCUGGCGGCAUGCCUAACACAUGCAAGUCGAACGAGACCUUCGGGUCUAGUGGCUAACGGGGUCGUAACGCGGGGGAACCUGCGCUUAGGUUCGGAAUAACUCCCCGAAAGGGGUGCUAAUACCGGAUAAUGUCUUCGGACCAAAGAUUUAUCGCGUUUGGAUGGGGCCGCGUUGGAUUAGCUAGUUGGUAGGGUAAAAGCCUACCAAGGCGACGAGCCAUAGUUGGUCUGAGAGGAUGAUCAGCCACACUGGGACUGAGACACGGCCCAGACGCCUACGGGAGGCAGCAGUGGGGAAUAUUGGACAAUGGGCGAAAGCCUGAUCCAGCAAGGCCGCGUGAGUGAUGAAGGCCUUAGGGUUGUAAAGCGCUUUUACCCGGGAUGAUAAUGACAGUACCGGGAGAAUAAGCUCCGGCUAACUCCGUG
rnacentral:rRNA from 1 species